rnacentral:sRNA from 1 species
ACACGAGAGAGGAGGUGGUCCAGGAGUGAAUUCUUCAAGGACGCGUGAGGUGACUGCGCGCUAGCGCAGAUCGUCUGUCGGACACCUCGAAGUGGCCCGACGUCGGACGUGGUGGCAAUUCCAUGCAGUCACCGCAGCCCGUGGGAACGCGAUUCGUCCAUCGCGUGCCCGUCUCGAAGGAGGCGGGAGCCCACGGGCUGUUAUCU